rfam:Danio rerio chromosome 7, GRCz11 reference primary assembly.
AUAACGGCUCUUUUAGGAGCCACACACACUAAGAACAAGUUUCCGU